rnacentral:sRNA from 2 species
AUGUACCACGCGUAGACUCCGGCUCCUGCGUGCCGUCCGCGCCCACCUGACAGCGGCUCGCUACGUUGUGUUAGCC